CCAAGGACAGGAUCUAGAUGGGAUGGGUGGAGUUGGUGUUGGCGGCGGAUUCAUUUAUUCUUCUUUUUUAUACUAAAGCGAUCUUGCUGCUUGGGAACAAGGCUGAUUUGUUGCUCCACUCCUUGGCUCUUCAUGUCGGCUCUUUGUUUGUGAUCAGUAAAAUGUAUACUGCUGGAGAACAUCGGCCGAAACAUAUUAUGUUAUUGCAGGCUGAUCAGAUGGGCUUCCACAAUAAGGAUGGCAAUUAUCCUAAGAAGAGCAAGCUCCUAGCCAAUGUUGGCGACAUGGCCUCAGUAUCCGCAAGUUCCAAAUCUUGGCUAUGCCGAGCAAGAAGCCGCUGGCUGGAAAUAAGGGAGGUUAGUUCCAUGCAUGUUUAGUGACUUACAACCGUCUAUGAAAGGGGCCAAUCCAUCUAGGUGUUGUCGCACGCUCCUUUUGCCAUACAUGCCUUUUAUAUGUCUGCGAAUUAUGCAUAUGGUCAUGUCUAAAUGGUGAUGGGU